rnacentral:sRNA from 1 species
AAAUAUGGUUAGUUUAGAGAUAUUAGAUAUAUUAAAUUUGGUAAUUAAAUAAUUAAUUUCUUUUUUAAUUAUUGUUUUUGUAGAAAAUGUUAGCUUUUCCAAGAAUUAAUGUUAUUCGGGAUCCGAAAACAAUAAAACCCGGUAAAGAACCUGACCCAUUAAAGUUAUUCAAGAUCCGAAUAAAAUUAAGGCAGAUUUACAAAAUUACCCUUUUUUUACUACCCUUUUGCAAGAAUACCUUUUUAUAUGGUUUAUUUUUAAGAAUAUCCCUUUCUUUGAACAGAAUGACCAAAUUACCCUCAUCUAAUAAGAACAUAUAAUUGGAAACUGAAAGUUUCCCGCCAAAUUUUUGGCGCCAAAAUUUAUUUUUCCCGCCAAAAAAAAUUUCUACCAAACUUUUUUUCCCGCCAAAAAAAAAGUUUCCCGCCAAAAAAUUUUCUCGUAAAUAUUUUUUUCCCAGCCAAAAAAAUGCUUUUAAAAAUCCUUGUAAAUUUUUUAAAAACUCUUUUAAAAAACCUUGUAAAGUUUUUUAAAAGCUUUGAUAGUUGCUAAAAACUCUUGUAAAUCAUUUUAAAACCUCUUAAAAUCUUUCUAAAGUCUUUAAAAACAUAGGUAAAUACUUUAAAACCCCUUUUUAAACCUUUG